CAGCCGCCGCGGGAACACGAAGGGUGCAAGCGUUAAUCGGAAUUACUGGGCGUAAAGAGUGCGUAGGCGGUUUGUUAAGUCUGUUGUGAAAUCCCCGGGCUCAACCUGGGAAUGGCAAUGGAUACUGGCAAGCUAGAGUGUGUCAGAGGAUGGUGGAAUUCCCGGUGUAGCGGUGAAAUGCGUAUAGAUCGGGAGGAACAUCAGUGGCGAAGGCGGCCAUCUGGGACAACACUGACGCUGAGGCACGAAAGCGUGGGGAGCAAACAGGAUUAGAGACCCCCGUAGUCCCUGUCUCUUAUAC
rnacentral:rRNA from 1 species